GAUGAACGCUGGCGGCGUGCUUAACACAUGCAAGUCGAACGAAGCACCUUGAUUUGAUUCUUCGGAUGAAGAUCUUGGUGACUGAGUGGCGGACGGGUGAGUAACGCGUGGGUAACCUGCCUCAUACAGGGGGAUAACAGUUAGAAAUGACUGCUAAUACCGCAUAAGACCACAGUACCGCAUGGUACAGGGGUAAAAACUCCGGUGGUAUGAGAUGGACCCGCGUCUGAUUAGGUAGUUGGUGGGGUAACGGCCUACCAAGCCGACGAUCAGUAGCCGACCUGGGAGGGUGACCGGCCACAUUGGGACUGAGACACGGCCCAAACUCCUACGGGAGGCAGCAGUGGGGAAUAUUGCACAAUGGGGGAAACCCUGAUGCAGCGACGCCGCGUGAGCGAUGAAGUAUUUCGGUAUGUAAAGCUCUAUCAGCAGGGAAGAAAAUGACGGUACCUGACUAAGAAGCACCGGCUAAAUACGUGCCAGCCGCCGCGGUAAUAC
rnacentral:rRNA from 1 species